rnacentral:rRNA from 1 species
UAGGGAAUCUUCCGCAAUGGACGCAAGUCUGACGGAGCAACGCCGCGUGAGUGAAGAAGGAUUUCGGUUCGUAAAACUCUGUUGUUAGAGAAGAACAGCGCAUAGAGUAACUGUUAUGCGUGUGACGGUAUCUAACCAGAAAGCCACGGCUAACUACGUGCCAGCAGCCGCGGUAAUACGUAGGUGGCAAGCGUUGUCCGGAUUUAUUGGGCGUAAAGCGAGCGCAGGCGGUCAAUUAAGUCUGAUGUGAAAGCCCCCGGCUCAACCGGGGAGGGUCAUUGGAAACUGGUUGUCUUGAUUACAUAAAAGGAGAGUGGAAUUCCAUGUGUAGCUGUGAAAUGCUUAGAUAUAUGGAGGAACACCAGUGGCGAAGUCGACUCUCUUGUCUAUCACAGACGCAGAGGCUCGAAAGCGUGGGUAGCAAACAGG